rnacentral:piRNA from 2 species
UGUUUCUUAGGUUGGACAGUAGAUGGA